rnacentral:miRNA from 1 species
CAGUUGACGAGUUUUAUGCGA